rnacentral:rRNA from 1 species
CAGCAGCCGCGGGAAUACAGAGGGUGCAAGCGUUAAUCGGAAUUACUGGGCGUAAAGCGCGCGUAGGUGGUUUGUUAAGUUGGAUGUGAAAUCCCCGGGCUCAACCUGGGAACUGCAUCCAAAACUGGCAAGCUAGAGUAUGGUAGAGGGUAGUGGAAUUUCCUGUGUAGCAGUGAAAUGCGUAGAUAUAGGAAGGAACACCAGUGGCGAAGGCGACCACCUGGACUGAUACUGACACUGAGGUGCGAAAGCGUGGGGAGCAAACAGGAUUAGAUACCCCAGUAGUCCCUGUCUCUUAUAC